UACAGAGGGUGCAAGCGUUAUUCGGAAUUACUGGGCGUAAAGCGCAUGUAGGCGGUUUAGUAAGUCUGGUGUGAAAGCCCUCGACUCAAUCGGGGAAGUGCAUUGGAUACUGCUAGACUAGAGUAUGGGAGAGGUGAGUGGAAUUCCAGGUGUAGAGGUGAAAUUCGUAGAUAUCUGGAGGAACAACAGAGGCGAAGGCGGCUCACUGGACCAUCACUGACGCUGAGAUGCGAAAGCGUGGGGAGCAAACAGG
rnacentral:misc_RNA from 1 species